CACCAUGGAUAACCGCGCAGCUCUUUUGGGCUGUGAGGAAAGUCCAUGCUCACACAAGCUGAGAUGCUUGUAGUGUUCGUGCGCAGCGAAAUCAUAAGCUGCGGCUCUCAUGCAGAUGAGAUGACGGCAGGAAAAAGAGCUAAGGGGAAACCUAUGCUCGAGUACCCUUGAAAGUGCCACAGUGACGAAGCAGACGGGGAAACGCGUCUGGUGGAACGCGGUAAACCCCUCGAGUGAGCAACCCAAACAUAUGGUAGGGGCACUUUUCUCCUGGAAAAUGAACAGAGAGAAGAGGCGGGGCCUGAUGUGCCCGUGCAGACAGAUGGUUAUCUCUGAACAGACUUCACCGUCUGUUCUAGACAAAACAUGGCUUACAGUG
rnacentral:RNase_P_RNA from 2 species